UACGUAGGGGGCAAGCGUUGUCCGGAUUCAUUGGGCGUAAAGAGCGCGUAGGCGGCCAGGUAGGUCGGUUGUGAAAACUGGAGGCUCAACCUUCAGAGGUCGACCGAAACCAUCUGGCUAGAGUCCGGGAGAGGAGAGUGGAAUUCCUGGUGUAGCGGUGAAAUGCGCAGAUAUCAGGAAGAACACCCGUGGCGAAAGCGGCUCUCUGGAACGAUACUGACGCUGAGGCGCGAAAGCGUGGGGAGCGAACAGG
rnacentral:rRNA from 1 species